rnacentral:misc_RNA from 1 species
UAAUCAUCUGGUAACGUUACAUUUCUUUUCAUUACUCCUCAAAUAGUGACAGAAAAAAUAAGUUGAACUGAAGCAAGAAAAAAAAAGCGCGUCACCUAAUAGUUUUUCUUUUGUGUUUUUUCUAAUAAAAUAAAAAGACAAUGGCCGAUUCCGAUGAUGAGUACGAUCGCAAGAGACGCGAUAAAUUCCGUGGUGAACGCAGCUCAGGGGAUAGUUAUCGUUCUGAGAGACGUGAUGAUAGGCGUGGUGGUGGCAGCGGCGGUGGUCGUGAUGAAUGGCCCGAAAGAGGCAAUCCCUUUAGAGGAGGAGCUGCCAGUAGAGCACGUUCUGAUUACCGAGAUUUUCGUGGUCCCCGUGAUCGUUACGGUUCACCCGGUCGAGAAAUGCCACCAGCUAAACGUAUGCGUCAAGAUUGGGGUGAUGAUUUAAGAGGAAAUCCCAGAUUUGGACCCUAUGAUCCUUAUCUUAUGCAUGCCUGGAAUGAACAUUAUGCUGCCCAUGGUUUACAUGGUGCCUAUAGUGCUGCACUUUCUCACAGUAUUCAUUCGCGUGAGUCAGCUGCCAAUACCGAUCUACAAACACAACCCGCCAUGAUGACUUUAAAGCAAUUUUUGGAUACUCAAGAUGAUGGCAUUUCGGAUACUGAAGUUUUACGCAAAUAUAAUGAAUAUAAAUUGGAAUUUAAACGUCAACAAUUAAAUGAAUUCUUUGUGGCCCAUAAGGAUGAGGAAUGCUAUUUAAGAAUGGCGUCCUUAAGGUCUGCCACCUCAGCCACACUUAUAUAUACUUACAUAACUAGGAUGGUUGUUUAAUGAAAGAAAAGCAAAGCGCACAUGUCCCCAAAAAGACAAAGAUUCUAUACUACACUCUACCUACUACUACUACUACCAACCAAUCAACCAAAACACCUACAACCCAAAAAUUGUUGUUGUUAUAGAAUCCAUGUGCUGCUCUAAUUUUUAUCACUAUCAUAUAGAAAUCGUUCUAUUGCAAACGAUUUAAUGAUGAUAUUUUAUCUUCUACUUCUAACUUUUGUUUUAUUUGUUUUUUUGCACUUGGCGAGCAAUGCCAUAGUGUGUUUAAAUUACUUUUUUGUUUAAACCGCGUAUUUAUUAAAAUCGUUUAAAUAAAUUUCCGUAACGUCUAUUAACUUGAACAUAAAUUCGGUAUCUGUAAAGGUUCAAGAACAAAUAUCAUCCUGUGGAUAGUGUUAAACGUAAGGAGGAACAAUUGAAUUUCCUAAAGG